UGCAGGACCAUCCCAAUGCGCGAGAAUGCGCACUGCCCGCAGCCUGACGCACAGAAGCGCAUGCGCAGAGGAGCUGCGGUGGGUGGUGGUGGGGGGGCGCCGAUGCGCAGAGCCCCUAUCUGCGCCUGCGCAGGACGGGCCGAAGCGCCGACCGGGUACCUGGGGCGGUGUUGUCCGGGGGUACGUCACGGGCCGCGCGCCGGGCGCGUACGCACGCACGCACGCACGCACUUACGCUCAGGGGGCAAGAGCCGAGUUCCGGGCGCUCGGGGUCGACGCCGAAAAGGGGGAAGGGAGGUGCUGUCGGUUUCGGCGCGGGCGGAGGGUGGGGGUGUGUGUGAGGAAAGUCCUACGGUGGCCGCAGAGGGACGGCGCUACGGCUCCCACGCUGGGCCAAACGCCGCCAGCCGCCGGGCGCGGGAGCCCCUGGCCCUUCGGGGCGGCCCCGGGCCGGGACUCGUGAGGGUCCCGGCCGCACCGUCGGCACCAUGCGGCCGCCCUGCUCCAGGAGCCCCGAGGGACAGGGGGCCGCGCGGCUCGGGACGCCGGCGCGGAGAGGGCAGCCGGCCCCCGCCUCCCCCGGUGCUCAGCCUCGGCCGCCCAGGCCCAGGCGCCCACGACGCCUAUGCUGACCGCCGCCGGGACUCCGCCGCCGCCGCGAGCUAGCGCCGCCGCCGCCCGGACCCGAUGCCGGUCAUGCCCAUCCCCCGGCGGGUGCGCUCCUUCCACGGCCCGCACACCACCUGCCUGCACGCCGCCUGCGGCCCGGCGCGCGCCUCCCGCCCGGCCCGCACCAAGUACAACAACUUCGACGUGUACGUCCGGGCGCGCUGGCUCUACGGCUUCAUCCGCUUCCUGCUGUACUUCAGCUGCAGCCUCUUCACGGCCGCGCUGUGGGGCGCGCUGGCCGCGCUCUUCUGCCUGCAGUACCUGGGCGUCCGCGUCCUGCUGCGCUUUCAGCUCAAGCUGUCGGCGCUGCUGCUGCUGCUGGGCCGCAGGCGCGUGGACUUCCGCCUCCUCAACGAGCUGCUGGUCUACGGCAUCCACGUGACCAUGCUGCUGGUCGGGGGCCUGGGCUGGUGCUUCAUGGUCUUCGUGGACAUGUGAGGGUGCCGCGGGCUCAUCUGGGGGCGGCUGAUGGCGAUCUGGCUGUAGCUGCACCUGCGAGGGGUGCUUUUCCUGCCGGGAUCGGUCAGGGCCCCUUCCGCCCCGUCCCAGAGGAGCGACCUCCCUGCGCGCUGGAGUCUCUGGCUCGGACCGGAAAGAGCGGAGACUUCUGUGAAGGGGACGCUGGCACCCUCGCUCCUGCUGGUCCCUGCUUCAGCCGUUCUCUGUGCUUUUGGCGUAACAUCCCCCGGGCCAUCCGCUUGUGGUUCCGCCUGCACUUGCCCAGCAGUUCCAGAGGGGACCCGUCGGUCCAGUCUGCACUUGGAGAGCCCGGGUUCCUGUCCCCUCUUCAGGACACCGGCAUCACCGUUGUUGGUGUGAGAGGCCCCUGGGAGGGGUGAGGUGCCCAGGUGCAGACCUGGAGGGGACUUCUCCCAGCUGCCCUGUCCCCUCCUGUGCGCCCCGCAGCCCCUGCGCCAGCCUUAGGGAAGCGUCGGGCUCCACGAGCUGACGCCCCACACUGCCACCAAGUUCUUCACUCCGCCCUGGGCCACCAAGUCCUGGCUCAGCCCACACACUGUCCUCCAUACGUUACCCUGUAAGGUGUCCUGAGUCCCUGACCCGGCUUCCGUGCCACCUGGGUUCACUUGGCAGGUUGCUAGAUCAGGAGGGGGCGUGUUGGUUCCAGGGCAUGCCUGUCUUCCUCCCGGGCAGGUCUGCUGAGAAUGUCAGCCAGAUGACGUCAUCUCUUCAAGUGUGACUUUCUGAGGCGGGCAACUCAGUGUGUUUCUGGCUUUGGUGGGGGUGGGGUGGUGCGGGGUUCAGCCUCUUCCCUGGAGGGAACUUCCAGGAUUAAGACGUGUGUGUCAGGAGCAGAUAUCAGAGGUGGCCCAAGUGCUGUGCGUUAAGAAACAGCUCUUGGAGUCGUGGGUACACCAGGCUGGACCACCAAGUGAGGGACUUUCGGCCCUUGUUCAUGCCUCGGCAGCUGUUGGAGCAGCUGGGAGUACAGAGCAAGAGUGACUUUGGGCCAGGGCGGUUCCAGUUGCAGAUAGAACAUACCAAAGGGCUAGAGUCUCGCCCCUUUCCUCCCCCACCUCCUUCAGAUGAGGCCAGGGUGGCCUUGGGCCUCAUAAGCAGGCCAGGGGCGCUCUGAAUGAUUUAGCUGGGACAACGGCCAGAGGCAGGACUUAGCGCCUCAGACGGGAGGGCGACAGGCAGGCUAAUGCUGCUCCACCCCAAGUUGUCCCCACAGCCCCAGGCACGGGCAGUGGCCCCUUCAGCCCCCUCUGGCCAGGCUGCCUAGUGGCCAGGGAGGCUGUCGGGGCAGUUGUGUGCUGCUGGAAGAAAAACCCAAAUCAGGUAAAGAAAGCAAAAAAUAACUUGGCUGCACGCCGUGCUUUUUUAUUUGUAGUCAGCUUCUGUCGGGCAGUUGUCCACUCAAGGUCAGCGGUGGGCUCCUCAAGGGGAGUGGGGAGCGAGUCUGUCUGAGUUACCUGGAUGGCAGGCGUGGAGCCGAUCGACGUGGACCCCACUUCCCAGUGCUGCAGAGAAUCUUUUGCACUAAGUCCCACUGUUCCCUGAAAGCUUCUUUUUGUGUUGACUCGUGUCACUCUGAGCCCCCAGGUGGGCCUGUGCCCGCGGGGCUGGGGGCUGCAGUGGUGCGGGCACGCUGCCCGGCAUCCUCGGUGCCUGUGAGAUUCUUUAUGAAAUGAGCCACCUGCAUUAAACUUAUUUUUUUAACAUGUUGAUGGUGUGAUUGUUUAAAGCUCAAAAAGUUUAUACCUUUUUUUAGAGGAUAUAACAAGCCCGAAACACCACAGAUGCCGUUUUUUUCAUAAGUACAGUG
ensembl:lncRNA